CGUUGACGAUGGUGCGGGCUUCGAGCGAGCACACUGUCCAGGUGGCCGAGUGGUGCUGUUCGGCGAAGUUGGUGGUGCGGAUCCGCUCGCUGAUGG
rnacentral:tRNA from 1 species